rnacentral:misc_RNA from 1 species
UAAAGGUGGAUGAGUGGUGUUUGGUUUGUUACGUGUGGUUGGCUGCGGCGUUUGCAACAACUUCCAUGCUUUCAGACCUCUUCAGUUGUGCGGCAAGGCUUGUAUCSCCUUGAGCGUAUUGUGGGUUUUCUGUGUUGGCUACCUAAUCAAUGGUAUCGUUUGGAUUGAUCRAAKUUUGAUUUCGUCUUCCGUCGCGUUUGCGGCGUGAGGUGAACCUUGAUGCGGUYUCUUUGAUCCAUYUCGUCGAAGCACAUGCUUUGACGUUGUGGCACAUUGACCAUUGCUUGGUCUCUUGUAUACGGAACACGUAGUGGGCAUGGAUCUAACGAUUCUUGUUUGCCCUCAUGUUAGCGUAACGCUUCUCUAACACGACUUGCACCACGUUUUAGCUCGUACGGACGUGGU